UGGGGAAUUUUGGACAAUGGGGGAAACCCUGAUCCAGCCAUGCCGCGUGUGUGAAGAAGGCCUUCGGGUUGUAAAGCACUUUCGGACGGAACGAAAUCGCACGGGUGAAUAUCCCGUGUGGAUGACGGUACCGUAAGAAGAAGCACCGGCUAACUACGUGCCAGCAGCCGCGGUAAUACGUAGGGUGCGAGCGUUAAUCGGAAUUACUGGGCGUAAAGUGUGCGCAGGCGGCUUCGCAAGUCGAGUGUGAAAUCCCCGGGCUUAACUUGGGAACGGCGCUCGAAACUACGGAGCUAGAGUAUGGCAGAGGGAGGCGGAAUUCCACGUGUAGCGGUGAAAUGCGUAGAGAUGUGGAGGAACACCAAUGGCGAAGGCAGCCUCCUGGGCCAAUACUGACGCUCAUGCACGAAAGCGUGGGGAGCAAACAGGAUUAGAUACCCCUGUAGUCCCUGAGCGGGCUGGCAAGGCGCAU
rnacentral:rRNA from 1 species